CACGUAGGGCGCAAGCGUUGUCCGGAAUUAUUGGGCGUAAAGAACUCGUAGGCGGUCUGUUGCGUCCGCUGUGAAAACUCGGGGCUUAACCCCGAGCCUGCAGUGGAUACGGGCAGACUAGAGGUAGGUAGGGGAGAAUGGAAUUCCCGGUGUAGCGGUGAAAUGCGCAGAUAUCGGGAGGAACACCGGUGGCGAAGGCGGUUCUCUGGGCCUUACCUGACGCUGAGGAGCGAAAGCGUGGGGAGCGAACAGG
rnacentral:rRNA from 1 species